AAACUUUAAAAUAAACAAAACGAAUUAGUUAAUUGUGCUAUUCACCAAUAAAAAAAAAACCUUCUUUACCAAAACCCCAUUCUAUUUUGACCAUGGCCAGAAGCCAAAACCGUUUUCCUGCAGCUACCAAGUUUUGUUAUUGUGUCAGCUCAACGUUCUUUGCUUUCGGGCAAUUUCAGAAAACUGGCAAAGUCCUUUGGGCUCAGAAUCAAUAUUGAUUUGGUUUUCUUCCCCAAACAGCAGCAGCCAAAAAUUGCCAGAAUCGAAAGAAAAAGGUUAACACAUAGCGUUUAUGUGAAGAUGUUACUCUUAGUUUCGCAACAUUUUCCUCCGCUUUUCUCCUGGGUAUUUGUGAGUGUGUGAGUUGGGUGAAAUUUUGUGGAGCAUCCAUUUGGCUUAUGGGAAAGUUGCAUUUGAAUUGGCCAAAAGUGGCCGAGAAGCAGAGAAUGUGAUCGUAAUUGAUGAGCAAGAGUGCGGUAGGAAAACAGGUCGUUAAAUGGUUUGGAAGGCAGAACAAGGAACACGCAAAGUACGGCAUUUUCCCCAUCACUACAAUUUCCUGUUUGACCAUUUUCCCCAAAGUGAACAUAUUUGGCCAAAAUAAUUGAGUGAACUAAACCCGAUUCGUUAGCUCCAGACUUUUAUCAAUAUCUACUUAAAUACUUUCAAUUAAUCCAACAUAUUUGCGUAAAUAUUAUGGCAAACGCCCAGUCAUUACAAUUCAAUUAUAGAUCCUAUCCAGACUUUCAAACCCACAAAAUCAAUCAAUCAUUUAUUAAGCAGCUCAAUCAAUUUUCCCCAGCCCAUCGGCCAAGUCGGUUGAAUUAGGUGGCGUAUCGCCUUUGGCCAAAUUGAAUACCUGUCCCUAAUCUCUGCUUUAGCUGUACAAAAUCGCUUGCAACACUCAACACACAUACAGAUUAGUUCGGGUUUUUGAGUAGUUUGGGUAGGCAGCUAAAAGCCAAAACUUUCAUAUCAGUGGGCGGCUGUGGGCGUGGUCAAUGGGCUUAGUUCAGCCAGUUGAACUACUGUAAAAACGAUGGCGCCAAGUCAAAGUCGUAAACUUGAACAUGACUGCUAAAAGGUUUUACUCUUCCUUGUGAAGGUAUUUAAACUUUAUGGUAAAAGUUUUCCGAAUGGCGAAACUCACAUUUUAUAGGUCUUCUCUUAAAAUUUGUAUUUGUAAGACAUAUAAUUUCAAUCUCUAUUGCUGCUGCCUUUAUAAAUACCUCUAUACAUAGUAUUCAUAUAAUAGAAUAAGAGUAUCUUUACGUUGACAUACACGAGAUUAUGCAGUGGCACAACCAAGUAUUUAGUACCUGCGGCAUGUGUUAACAUAGGUUUUUCAUUUAGCCCUUUUUAUUUUCUUGCAGACUUUUUUAAGUAGAUUUUUUUUGGGCUUCGGUUGUCUCACGUAGCGCGAAAUGUGUGCAUUUUAAUGAUCCAAAUUAUGGUUACUUUAUUGCGUUAUUAAUAACAUUUUGAUUGCAUCACGUACGCACGCACAUUGGAGCUCAGCAGAGUUUACCCUCUAGGUAGACCUUUGCAGAGAAAACCAAAUAACAAAAGUACAGAGAGAAAAAUGUGGCAAACAACCUUCUAUAUUCUGUAACAAGAAAUCCAUGUCAAUUGUAAGUGUUUGCAGUAUAUCAUCUGAUUUUGAAUCUGCAAAUUGCAUGUACAUAUUAAACUAUUAUAUAGAACCGCUUCCGAUUUCUAAAUUUUCUUCUGUGCAGGACAGAUCCACCACCACCAAGAUCCAGACCAGACCCAAUCCGAUCCGAUCCGAUCCCGGUUGCUUGGGCUGUCAACACUCUUUUUGGCGCUCCGCUCACGUUUCGGUUUGCCGGCCACGUAAAUGGAAAUGGCAUGGAAAUGGGUGCAAGGUGUGUGUGCUGCAGUGUUCGCCGCGGGGGGAAAUGGGGGGAAAUCGGGGUACUUGGGGUGUUGUGCUGCCGGAGACUCCUCCUUGGAUUUCGGCUGUGUCUUGCUGUCGAAGGGCAUCCCAAAGAGAAAAAAAGAAAACCAAACGAGAGCCGCGAAAUAAGUUUCGUUUGCAGCUGUAGAAAUCGUGUGCCGAGCUGCAGCCUUGGUUUCUCUGCUGCUUCUUUUCCCGGUGUCUUAUCAAUGUUUCAUUUUUAGCUUUCGAGUGCCGUUUUUAGUUAAUUUUCCGUUUCUGUUAUUGAAUUUUUACAACUGCCCCGAAGUGGGUCAAAGAUACAGAUACAAAACUGAAUUGGAAUCGGAAUCGGAAUCGGAGACGGAGACGGAGACGGAAUCGCAGACGGAGAGGCCUCACAAAGCCACCAUAGUCACAUAAUAAAGAGAGCGGCGGCGGCAACGGCGGCGGUAAUUUAACGUUCAUUAAUGUCUGGCAUAAUUUUCGGUACUUCUUCUUUUGCGAGCUGCAAAACCCGGCUGAUGAGGAAUGUUUAAGCCAAAAAGGUGCCCUCGAGAGCAUAAACCAUGUCGACGGCAGCUGCCAAAAGUGGAUCGAGUAUCGGAAUGACCGGGGAUAGCCAUGCGUUCAUAUAUGUAUAGGCGAAAGGGUUGAGGGAUUUUUAAUUAUACUUCUUAGCCAGAAAUUUGCAAAUUUGGGACCUUGCCAAAGGUAUUAUGAUUUUAUUGGUUUCGGACAAAGAUCCUUGGACGACUCGUCAAUAAUCAUCAGUAAUACCCAGAUCGAAAAUAUCACACUUCAUUUUGAAAUGAGUCAGGUUUAAGCUUAUUACUUGCGGUUUCAAUUUUGAUUAAACAGACGAUUAAGUUCCACGAAAACUAUGCUUGAUAUUUUCGAUUUAUUUUUAAACAUUUAAACAAUUCAAGUUUUAUCAAUUGGUCAUAAAAUACUCCGUAUUAAACGUUUUCAAUUUAAAUAUGUAAAUGUAAAUUAAUUAAUAGAAACCGAUUAAAAUUCAACGGAGAUUCUGUGCCAUGUCUGUGAUUAUUAUUCUAAUCUCAGGAAGGGUCUUGUCUUUUUCAAUUUGCAUUUACAUUGGCAAGCAAGAAAAAGCCGGAACCGGCAUUUCUGACGUCAUUGGCAAACAACCGGCUAAAAACAAAAGAGCACAAAAAGUAACCAGGGAAUAUCCGACUAGAACUUAACAAACCGAUGAUGGGAACGGGUUGGGUUGGGUUGGGAGAACAAGUUGGGCAAGACAAGUACGGGAUAUAACUUUGACUACUACAAGUUGCCCAUCUGCGAAGGGAACAGAAGUGGAAAACAGAGGGGAAACACAAUAUAGGUAUAGGUAUAUAGAUGGUUAGUAUCCCGGGGUUGAGGAAUCCGAGGAAGUCACAUUGCUCCGGCACGGGGCACAAAACCCUAACAAAAACGUGCAAAAAGAUAUGGUCGGCAUAAAGAGUGAGUCGCUGGCAACCUUGGAAGUUAUUUUCAAGGUGUGCACACGCUUCAAACGGAAGAGGUGGAGGUAACUCGGCGCUGACAACAAAACCAAACUAGAAGUUGUUCAAAUACACAGAAAUACAUAUAGAUGUACAUAUAUACUCGUAUGUAUAUAUAAAAUAAAACAACAAGAUGGGGCAGAUUCAGCCCCUACAUCCCAUAAUUUAUGGCCAGACACGAGCUGAAUUUUGUGCAGAAAUAAGGGAGCUACCUUUUGUAGAUGUAGAUACCUGCGAAAAUUCUGCCGAGAUACUAGUAUUAGUACUUUUUGCCAGAGCCGAUCAACUUUUGCACUACAUCACAAAGAGCUGCCAGUCAUUCGUGCAUUCGAUUAUUAUUUGUUGUUCAUAAAUACGGGCAGCUAUCUCUUGGUUUGCAAGUACUAAUAUUCAUUCACCCUGAACAAAAUAGAUUUCAGAUUUAUGACUCGCUUAGCAAAGUCAAUUUGUUUGGCCAUAUAAUUCUAUACUCUCCUCUUUGUUACUGAGCAAACCGUGAUAAAAAGUUAUUAGUAAGUGUUAUAUUUAUUCAAUAAUACUUACAUGCUAAAACAUACUAAUAAAUGUCUAAGUUUAAAGUGAGAUACACUUAUUUAAACCCUAUCUCUUGUGAGCUUUCUUGUAUUUCUAAAAACAUUUAAAAUUUGUACACUUUAGUUUCUCCUCUAUUUUAUUCAAACGCUUUUUUUUUGCGAGUACACAAAUGUCUAUUUUUCGCGUUCUGCGCCUAUACCAUAUAUCGCUGCCCCUUCGGUUAUGUGCUUCUUUUCGCAGUUUUUUCCUCCCUUUUUUUUUUUUGAUUGUUUUAACGAACUCAGGUUGUUUUGACCAUGAACCCAUCAUAAGUUUCAAAUGGCUCACGAUUUUAUUUCAUUUUAUUAUUUUUUCCUUUUGCGAGUUGGUGGGGCAAUGUUUGCGAUAGAAUGUGUUUCGGGGCUGUGGCUCCUCUUCGUAUUACCGAGUUCGUUCCUUCACUUUAUUUCGCUUGUUUAUUUAAAUGGGCGGGCUAUUUGAACUUAUUUGACUUCGUUUUCACUCCGUCUUCUUUGUCCGAUUCCCAGUUACUCCAAAACGUAUUCUUAGGCAUAUAAAUUUGUCAUAAUUUCGUUGGUUAGACGGCAUAAUUAACAGGCUUUCUGGCUAUUGACCGAGCGCCAUCGUUUCGUGACUGUAUCCGUAGUAUUUGUAUCUGUAUCCGAGUAUCUCAGAGUAUCUGUAUCUGUAUCUGCGUUUCUUUGUGUGUCGGCAGUGCGUGUAUUUGCUUAGUAAUUAUAGACGUUAGAAGUCGCAUAUAUAGGUGUCUGACUUGUCCGGGGCAUUAAACGUGCCAUCGAGUCGGUUUUUUCUCAAGGUUUAGGGCGUUAGUGUUCCAAUGGCCCCGAGGCCCAGUAGAGGCGGCUUUUUUCUCUCUUUUUUUGUUUAGCUGCGAGCCAAAGUACAAUAAAGAAAAAAGAUUGCCUCUGAUGGCCAUUAAAUUUGAAUAAGUUCGAAAUUGCCGGACGAAAAGAAAGGGACAAGAAAUUUGUUUUUGCGGGGGAUUUUAACUUGUCGAAAUUUGCAUAACUGAGCCUAAGUGUUGGUUUAAAUUCGCAUGAGGGAAAAUUAACUUUGAGUUAACCGAUUUGUAUCUUUCCUUAGCCACACAUGAAGGCAAGUAGGUACACACGACUUUCUAUCAACGUAGGCAUAUAUCUUAUAAUCUGUAUUUCUUUCCCAUGCUUGCCAAACUUUUACCCUUUUUUGUAUAAAACAAAAGCCCAUCAGCCAUAGAUCAAAUCAUCUGCUUAACCCCAUUUACUCACACCGACGCGACAAAGUCAAUUGUCAACAUAAAUGUCAUCGGAUGAUAAACAUACCUGGAACGACAAGAGUUAAAGGUUUACAACCGAUUAAUAAAGGUUCAUAUGCGGAGGGGAAAAUCGCGACAUUACAUAAAAGAGAGAAGAUCCCCGGAUGACAUGCACCACCAUAACCACCGUGAAGUCAAUUGAAGUUGCUCGCACACAAUGGCAACUGCGAAGGAAGCGAAAUUAAAUAAAAGCGCAGACAUCGGCGACGGCUGCAAAAAGCAGAUCAACAUAAAAAGAAAAUAAAUCAAAAAGCGCUCAGUUUUUUUCUUUUCUUUUUGCAUAAAACCAACGGGAAUGGCUGAACAAAAAAAAACACUUACAAGUAGUCAGUUGCUUGCGCUGCUGAUGCCGAAUGAAACUUUUCACCAUUUUGCAUAACAAUUUGUAUCUUUCAGUGGAGCGCAUUAAAGUCAUACGGCAGAAAAAAUAAAUACAAAAAAAGAAAAAAAAAAAACACAAAAAUGAAAACGGAGUCAAGGGUCCAACUUUUACUCGUUGCUCAACAUUAAAUUUUUGCGAGAGGACAGACGGAGAAAAACCAUGAAAAGGGAUUGGGAUGGGGCUUCCACUUCGGUGAGGGGGCAACCCUGAGUUUGCAAAAGUCCCCUCUGGAACUCCCUCCUUUUGGAGCCACCAGGCCCUCAUUUCCAUCGGUUUGGGAUGUCUGCCAACAGCGAAGAUACUCAGAUACAAAGAUAUGUCCACACAGACGGCACAUGUUGUGUAACUUUAGGAAAGUUGAAAGUUCAAAUUGAGGCAAAGCGGAACUAGUGAUGAGGUUUAACUAAUUCAAUAUGUAACGGAAUGUUGUGGAUGCAUCUUUAAAUAAUUGAUUGUCGCGGAAAUGGGCUUGCCGGAAUUUACAUUUUAAAUAGUUUAUAGUUUAUAGAUAGUUUGUGCAUUUUAGAUGGGGAGUAUUCAAAACACCAUCGAGUGUAGCAAGAACUUUAAAUCGUAAAUAAUAGUUUAGUAACUGGAUCAAUUGUCAAUCGAAAAUUGGAGCAUCUCUAUGAUCCCCACUGUACAUGCUAAUAAAUGUGUGGAAAGGGCGUAACGUUCCGAAAUUAACUCAAACUGUCGACAGACCCUGCAAAACGAAGCAUUUGGUUGGAAAAGGGGUAAAAGAAUGGCGGUCAGAGAGGAGGGGAGAGUAGAGGUGGUUGGAUAAAGAGUCAAGCAAAUAAUGGUUCAAAAGGGGGUCCCCGACAGAAGGAGAUUCCCGGUUGCUGGAGCUCGAGUUUCAAUUUAAAUGCAACUGACAUUAAAUUUACUACUUUGCCACACUACAUGCCACAGAGACUGCAGACUACUGCUGCAAGAGAUGUGUCUGCCAGAGGAAAGAGACGGCACAACAGCGGCAGAAAGAGAGGGCAGCACAAAUAGAGGGAGCUGGCGAACAGGAUUUGUGUUUGGCGGUGGUUCUGCUGGUUCCACUUCCCUUCUCAAUCACACCAGUACACAGUAACAAAUAUGUAUGUAUCUAUAUAGGCAAAACAUACAUUUCAGCAAGUUAAAAUAUUAUAUUAUGUAAGCCACUCUAUGAGCUAACUGCUUUUUGUUUUAUAUCUAUUACUCUAAAUGCAUGUAAGAGGAGCGAAAUUUGAGCAGUGUAUUCAGGCAUUCGCUCCGCAAGUUUUGCAACUAAAGUUGAGACUUUGGGUGCGGUAAAUUGGGCGGGGGGGUGGUUGUGAGGGGGUGUGCCUGCGCAGACAUUGUUGCUGUGUGUCUGUUAAAUAAAUUUAAUGAACUAGCGCAACCAUAAAGCUUAACUUAUCAAGAAUGCCAAGCUGCAGGGGAAAGACUCCAACUGGAGUCGAAAACGAAACGAAAAUAUUGCACAGUGGCAAUCACAAAUUUAUCGAUGGGCUUUAAUAGGUAAGGUUUGAGCAUUUUUGAAAGGCCAGGAAAGAUAUAGCAGCAAUAAAAAGAAAGAGAUAUGAGUUGUUUGCUAAACACGUGAGGAUAUUAUAUUAUCUUUACUUGUUUAGAUGAAGAAACGAAGCAUUCCAAUGCCCUAACCAUUUAAAGCAACUCCAUCUAGACCAAAUAAUUGAAAUAUAGCCUUUCUUUUGUGUAAAGCUCUAACAUCGGUGAACUUAUUUUACGAAUUUAUAAAUUUUUUAUAGUUUUGAAGCCACUGUUCGGCUGUCAGUGUUACAAACACACAUAGGCCCAAAACAACCAACACUUUAUCGUUAAACUCAUUCGACUUGUUGUCCAAUUGUGCAAUAAACUAACAACGACAAAUAAUUGUAGAAAAUGCAAAUUUUUUUAGGCAAAAGCGCAGCACAAAAAAAUGUUGAAUGCAAAGAAGCCUGGAAAAACGAACGCAAUAUAUUGCGUGAGUCAGAAUAAGUUCAGUGAACCAAACUUUGGAAUGCAGUAGAGGAAAUAAAUUCUAUAACUAUUAAGUGAUCAUAACAUAAAUAUGUAUCAAUGUGUUUAAUAUUUCCUUUUUUCUUCAUAUUGCCCAACCUUUUCCCAUUGUGUUGAUAAAAGACUGUGUCGGAAAAUGUGCCACAUCCAUUUGUCUGGUCUUUGUCCCUUUGUUUUUUCGACAAGAAAAAGUCUGGCCAGACCAGACGCCUUCAAUCGUUAAUCCAUUCAUUGGCGAGUGGGUGUCAGUUUGCUGCAGUCAGUUUGAACUUUUCAAAUGGAAUUUUAAACAAAUGAAAUCAGCAGCACACUGCAACAGCCAUACAAGAUAAAGACAAGACUCCCCCAAUCUGAAUCCGAGUCUGAGUCUGAGUCUGAGGCAAUUGAGAUGAGAACUGGUUGACAAGACAGCGGCAACAGCAGAAACAACUGUCAUUUGUUAUUGUCUUUGUCCGUCACUUUGUUAGUCUACUGCACACUCAACUCCACUCCACUCCAGAUUGCAGUUUUUAUGGCUGGCAAUGUACUGGGAGAAAUAAAUGCCAAAGACGCCAGCAAAAAUUCAGAAACCCAAACCCUAGAGCCCUACAUACAAAGGUUAGUAAAAUACUUUUAAGUUCUAUGAUUAUUAGUUUAUCCCUUUAAGCAGGUUUAAUGCAUUUAUGUGCAUAUAGUUUCCUUUCAGUUUUCCAAUGAUAUUUCUCCAAGUGCUUCCUAGUAGCACCCACAUUAGCGGGCUCAAUAGUUUUGAAGCUGAUUUCGUUGCCGUCGGACUUUAUGAUUUCCAUUCAUUUAGCGGCAAACAGGAAGAGAAAGUAAUGCACUGCAGCGGCUUCAACUUCGUUUCAGUCUCUGAAUUCGACUGUGACUUGGACUUGGGGACUCUGGGGCGCUCUCACUUCAUAAAUUUACCCGGCAAGGUGUCAAGUCAAUGCCAAAGAGCCCGAGAGCUGAGGACGCAGCUGAAUCCGAAUCGGAAUCGGUAUCGGUAUCCGAAGCUGAAGCUGAAGCAGAAGUUGGAGUUUCGGCAUGGGAUUGGGUUUUGGGUUUUCUGUUUUCAGUUUUGAGUUGAGGCUUCGCCAGUUGCUGGCCGCCAAGUGAAUGACAGUUGCCACCUUGAAAACGGCUGCCGUUGGUUUUUGUUGUUUUUAUAGCUGCUGCUGUUUUCUGCUGCUGCUGUUGCUGUUGCUGUUGCGGCAGCUGUCGUCGCACCAGCGUCAAGCUUUCAUUUAACCAAAGUCAGAGGGAGAAAGAUUGAGUCGCUACACGGAAAAACACAUUCACAACUUACAUAUGCUUGUCCUAUCCAACUAAAAUAUCUUUAUCGAUUUAUUUAAAUAAUAAUAAAAUGCUAAAUAGUCAGCAAUAUCCAUAGAAUUUUAACUUUAUUGGCUCACAUGUCGUAUGCGCACUUUUAGCACCACUGAAAAUGUCGCUUUAACUGCGUGACACGCAGUUAAUCCUAAAAAAAAGUGAAUCACCCACCAAUGGUUUAUGUUUUAUUUUGUUUUGACUCCGCUAUUUUGCCUUUCCCAUGUGUGUGGUGUUUGAAAGCAAAUUUCAUUUCAGUUUAUUUCACUACUUCAUUUGAUUUCAUUUCGCCGGCUGCCACACCAGGCCAUCAACAUCGACUCCCCCCGUCGCAGAUACUUUCCUUUACUUUCAUUUGAGUGAAAGAUACUCGAAGACGCGGCUCCCACUCUUUCUUUUUUAGGCUCUCUGUGAAUUGGAAGAGUGCUCUUUGCGCCGCUGGACGUUUUCAUUUUUAGUGAAAAGGACCAAUUUUAAUUUCACAUCGGCUUGCUUUCAAACACAUAUGUAUGUAUAUACGAAUGCAUACAUAUGUGUAAAUGCACUGUGAAGCUGUGAAGUUAAUUAUAUGUACAUGGCUAUCUGGCAGCUGCAUUUGCUUGCCGCUCAUUUGUAAAAGUAUCUUAUAGAUAAACAGGAAGUGAGUUCCAUUGGCCGUGGAUGCCGCUUUUUGUUGUAUUUCAUUUCAGUUUGGCUCAGGAAAAGUUCACUUCACUUUUACUUGCAAUACGGUUUUAUUUUCUCUGUGCAGAUUAGUGCUGUUUUUCAAAUUGCAUUUUCCAAUGGGUUUUUUUCUCUGCCUAUUCACGGGUGGGCGUUUUGGCCGAAAAUCGUUGGGAGAAAGGCUCGAUUUAAUAGCUUCAUUGUAAGCUGAGUGAAUGAAUGAGGAAAAGUUGGCAAAUUAAAUGGCACGUUUGUGUACAAAAUGUAUUGCGAUUUCGAAUUUAAUAAGCAGCCAAUUUUAAUGUGGCAGCUUAUGCUGAAUUUAACAUCAUGGCUUGUAAUAAAUGGUUUUCGCUUUACGGUUUGAUAAUGAGGUAUGUACUAUUUAAAAUCGAGGCUUACAUGAUAAAAUACAAGAAGUAAAAUUUUUAAUUUAUCCAAAAUAUUACAAUUUCCCAGCGUUAACUACUUUUUUCCAGUAACUCAUUUAGUUUUUCAGAUUUUCACCUGAGCUCGCAUAAUCAGCUUCAUCUGCCGCUUACAAGCUAAGUAAAUACUUUCUAACAACUAUCAAAUUUCACAGGCCGGCAAAGUGUUAAAUUCUCGACAAGCGAUGCAGGUGAAGCGAUAGGCGCGGUUAACAAGAACUCUCCAUCUCGCUCUACGAGGUGAAAGCGCCAGAGAUUAGAUGGCAUAAUUUUCACGCUUUUCCGCUAAAAGACAAGAGCUUCCCUUCAGAACUGCCCAAAGCAGCUCGCAAGUGGAAACUGAAAACUGAAAACUGAGAACUGAUUUAUUAUACAAAUUAAAAAAAGCGAUCGCAAGGGGGCAGGAAAAACCUUUAGUAAUUAGUGAGAACUUUGCGCCGUGUCAUGCAAACGAGCGGAGAUGGCAGAAGGGACGAUAGAAAAUUAUGAACAACAGAUCAAAGUGGAUAGAUAAAUAGUAGCGAAGCGAGCCCAAGAUAUAAUGGAAGCGAUUAGCAACAAUAAAGAGCAGUUGAUGUGCCGGGCCAGGCCCGGGCACAGAUUAUACAUAUUCAAAAGCGAGCUGGAGGAGAGCUGGAAGCGGCCAUAUAAGUUGAGACGACAUUAAGUAGCUACAAGAUACACACUCUAAACCGCAGCUCUGCUCUUGAGAUACUUUUGGACACGAAGCGGAAACACAGACAAGCCAACGCAAAGAAUCGAGGGACGAUCAACGAAGAUCGGGCAGCAAGACAAGCGGACGAACGCCAGUGUUGGCAGCUGGAAAAUCGAAAAGGUAGCUGAAGAAAUGAAGUAAAUAAUAUAACUAUCUUACAGACAAACAAAAAAAUACAGCAAAAAAUGUUUAAAAUAGUUAACUAAAUCUAAGUUCUGCAAACCAAGAACUCAGAAUCCGUAAGUACUUAGUUAGAUGGUACAAGUUUUUCAAGUCUAUUAACAGCUAGAAAAUGGCCAUAUCGGCAUCUCUGUCAUACGGACAAACGGACAGAAACAGAAGGCACGCCUUUUGAGCGACUUAACUCUUUGGCUACAUCAUAAAUUUUUAAUGUGAAGAUGUGCAGAGAGAUGCAACCACAAAAAAGACAGGCGACAGAGCACCAGCAGAAACAACAACAACAACAACAACCAAAUGGAGACAAGCAGUCGGGAUCGCGUAUCUUAAAGAUACAAAUUACAAGCGGUAGACAUUGAGAUUGAGGCCCCGGCAACACAACAAGAGCAAUAAAUAAACAACGCCGAUAUACGGAGGUAGUAGCAUGAAAAUGAUUAAAAGAGCUAAAGACCAUGUCUCCGCGGCGUUUCAUUCCGCUUCGUUUCACGGCCACCGGAUGAAACGCAGCGGCAACGGAACGAGCAACUUAUGCAAAUGUCGAGGAAGUUGAAACGUGCGAAUGAAAACGGUAUGACACUCGCUUAAUGCACCCAAAAUUGGAAAAAAAAAAAAAACAUGGGAAAGAAAGAAGGGGCUCCCGUGUCUGGGGGUCUGUCAUCAUUUUUGUCACGCACAUCGCCGUUUGAAGGCUUUUCUCUGCGCUGUCGGCUCUGCUGUCUGCUAUCUUCUGUCGAUGAAGACUCCUCUUCUGGCGUUUCUUCAGCUUCUUCAUUUUCUACAGCUGGUUUGCUUCUUUGUUUCCCUUUGUUGCUUUGAAUGCCGCCUGCUACUCGAAUUCAAUUUGUUAAGCUUUUAAGCGUGCCGGAACGAAACGAAUUGGAAUGGAACACUUAAAUGGAUGCACAGUGGGACCAAACGUUAGCAUUUUGGUUAUUUAUUGCAUUUUAAUUGAGUAUGUUUUGUGAUCAAACAAAAAUGGCAAUGUAUUCAACAAAAUGCCUUUAUAUACAGAAUUAUUAUAAAAUGUUUUUAUUUUCCUUGUUAAUAUAUUCCUUUAAUCUCUUGGCAAGUCGUACUCCAA